rnacentral:rRNA from 13 species
UGUACCCGCGGCAAGCCGGAAAGACCCCGUGAACCUUUACUAUAGCUUGCCACUGAACAGUGAGCCUUGAUGUGUAGGAUAGGUGGGAGGCUUUGAAGCGUGGACGCCAGUCUGCGUGGAGCCAACCUUGAAAUACCACCCUUUAAUGUUUGAUGUUCUAACGUUGGCCCCUUACCGGGGUUGCGGACAGUGUCUGGUGGGUAGUUUGACUGGGGCGGUCUCCUCCCAAAGCGUAACGGAGGAGCACGAAGGUUAGCUAAUCCUGGUCGGACAUCAGGAGGUUAGUGCAAUGGCAUAAGCUAGCUUGACUGCGAGCGUGACUGAGCGAGCAUGUGAUAAAGCCUGUCU